rnacentral:tRNA from 1 species
GAGGGUAUAGCUCAAAAUGCUAGAGUGCAUACCUAGCAUGUCCAAGGUCCUGGGUUCAAUCCCCAGUACCUCCU